rnacentral:rRNA from 1 species
UACGGAGGAUCCGAGCGUUAUCCGGAUUUAUUGGGUUUAAAGGGUGCGUAGGCGGGAUAUUAAGUCAGUGGUGAAAGUUUGACGCUCAACGUUAAAAUUGCCAUUGAUACUGGUUUUCUUGAGUACAGUUGAGGUAGGCGGAAUGUGGUGUGUAGCGGUGAAAUGCAUAGAUAUACCACAGAACACCGAUUGCGAAGGCAGCUUACUAAGUUGUAACUGACGCUGAAGCACGAAAGCAUGGGGAUCAAACAGG